UCUCAGUUCGGAUUGGAGUCUGCAACCCGACUCCAUGAAGCUGGAUUCGCUGUAAUCGCGCAUCAGCCAUGGCGCGGUGAAUACGUUCCCGGGCCUUGUACACACCGCCCGUCAAGCCAUGGGAGCCGGGAGUGCCUGAAGUCCGUGACCGCGAGGAGCGGCCUAGGGUAAGACCGGUGACUGGGGCUAAGUCGUAACAAGGUACC
rnacentral:rRNA from 1 species